rnacentral:tRNA from 1 species
CUCCCUGUGGCUCAGUUGGUAGAGCAUGGUGUUUGCAAUGCCAGGAUUGUGGGUUCGAUUCCCACGGGGAGC